AGCGAACGCUGGCGGCAGGCCUAACACAUGCAAGUCGAACGAACUCUUCGGAGUUAGUGGCGGACGGGUGAGUAACACGUGGGAACGUGCCUUUUGGUUCGGAAUAACUCAGGGAAACUUGUGCUAAUACCGAAUGUGCCCUUCGGGGGAAAGAUUUAUCGCCAUUAGAGCGGCCCGCGUCUGAUUAGCUAGUUGGUGAGGUAACGGCUCACCAAGGCGACGAUCAGUAGCUGGUCUGAGAGGAUGACCAGCCACACUGGGACUGAGACACGGCCCAGACUCCUACGGGAGGCAGCAGUGGGGAAUCUUGCGCAAUGGGCGAAAGCCUGACGCAGCCAUGCCGCGUGAAUGAUGAAGGUCUUAGGAUUGUAAAAUUCUUUCAACGGGGACGAUAAUGACGGUACCCUGAGAAGAAGCCCCGGCUAACUUCGUG
rnacentral:rRNA from 1 species